UUCGCAAUGCCCGAAAGGGUGACGAAGCGACGCCGCGUGCGGGAAGAAGGCCUUCGGGUUGUAAACCGCUGUCGGGAGUUAGGAAGUGCAAGGAUGUUAAUAGCGUUCUUGCUUGACUAAGGCUCCGGAGGAAGCCACGGCUAACUCUGUGCCAGCAGCCGCGGUAAUACAGAGGCGGCAAGCGUUGUUCGGAAUUAUUGGGCGUAAAGAGCACGUAGGCGGCCGUGUAAGUCGGUUGUGAAAGCCUUCCGCUCAACGGGAGAACGGCAUCCGAUACUGCAUGGCUCGAGUGCGGGAGGGGAGAGUGGAACUUCUGGUGGAGCGGUGAAAUGCGUAGAUAUCAGAAGGAACACCGGCGGCGAAGGCGACUCUCUGGCCCGUAACUGACGCUGAGUGUGCGAAAGCUAGGGGAGCAAACGGGAUUAGAUACCCCGGUAGUCCUAGCCGUAAACGAUGGGCACUAAGUAGAGGGGUUUU
rnacentral:rRNA from 1 species